rnacentral:lncRNA from 1 species
GUUGAUGGUGGCGAAAAACUCAUAACAUCCCAAGGGGACUGAUUCAACUGGCAAACAUGGGUUUGAAGCACGGUUCCAGGUUUCAAUGAAGAUGCUGCAUAUGUCAAUGAACAAAUUUUGGCGUGCUUCCGUAUUCUCAUGGAGGUUCUGUGGUUUUUUGGGGGAGUUUUUUAGUGGGUAGUCGGGGCAGAAACUCACAAGGGUAGAGAAGCUUUGUUGGGGGGCGCGAGGGGGGUGUGU